UGGGGAAUAUUGCACAAUGGGCGCAAGCCUGAUGCAGCCAUGCCGCGUGUGUGAAGAAGGCCUUCGGGUUGUAAAGCACUUUCAGCGAGGAGGAAGGUGGUGAGCUUAAUACGCUCAUCAAUUGACGUUACUCGCAGAAGAAGCACCGGCUAACUCCGUGCCAGCAGCCGCGGUAAUACGGAGGGUGCAAGCGUUAAUCGGAAUUACUGGGCGUAAAGCGCACGCAGGCGGUUUGUUAAGUCAGAUGUGAAAUCCCCGGGCUCAACCUGGGAACUGCAUUUGAAACUGGCAAGCUAGAGUCUCGUAGAGGGGGGUAGAAUUCCAGGUGUAGCGGUGAAAUGCGUAGAGAUCUGGAGGAAUACCGGUGGCGAAGGCGGCCCCCUGGACGAAGACUGACGCUCAGGUGCGAAAGCGUGGGGAGCAAAACAGGAUUAGAUACCCUGGUAGUCCACGCUGUAAACGAUGUCGAUUUUGGAGGUUGUGCCCUUGAGGCGUGGCUUCCGGAGCUAACGCGUUAAAUCGACCGCCUGGGGAGUACGGCCGCAAGGUU
rnacentral:rRNA from 1 species